UACAGAGGUCUCAAGCGUUGUUCGGAUUCAUUGGGCGUAAAGGGCGCGUAGGCGGCUUGGCAAGUGGAUGGUGAAAUCCCUCGGCUUAACCGAGGAACUGCCAUCCAGACUGCUUUGCUUGAGGCCGGGAGAGGUGAGUGGAAUUCCCAGUGUAGCGGUGAAAUGCGUAGAUAUUGGGAGGAACACCAGUGGCGAAGGCAGCCUCCUGGGCCAAUACUGACGCUCAUGCACGAAAGCGUGGGGAGCAAACAGG
rnacentral:rRNA from 1 species